GUGUCAGCAGCCGCGGUAACACGUAGGGGGCGAGCGUUGUUCGGAAUUACUGGGCGUAAAGGGCAUGUAGGCGGCUUUGUAAGCCCGGCGUGGAAGCCCACGGCUCAACCGUGGGAUUGCGUUGGGAACUGCGAGGCUUGAAUCAUGGAGAGGGAGCUAGAAUUCCUGGUGUAGGGGUGAAAUCUGUAGAGAUCAGGAAGAAUACCAGUGGCGAAGGCGAGCUCCUGGCCAAUGAUUGACGCUGAGGUGCGAAAGUGUGGGGAUCAAACAGGAUUAGAAACCCGGGUAGUCC
rnacentral:rRNA from 1 species